AUUCAGCCGAUGAGUCCCUAAUAGGAGGAAACAUGUGUCUUGAAC
rnacentral:hammerhead_ribozyme from 1 species